rnacentral:rRNA from 1 species
GCACAAGCGGUGGAGCAUGUGGUUUGAAGGGCAACGCGCAGAACCUUACCACCUUUUGACAUGCCUGGACCGCCACGGAGACGUGGCUUUCCCUUCGGGGACUGGGACACAGGUGCUGCAUGGCUGUCGUCAGCUCGUGUCGUGAGAUGUUGGGUUAAGUCCCGCAACGAGCGCAACCCUCGCCAUUAGUUGCCAUCAUUUAGUUGGGAACUCUAAUGGGACUGCCGGUGCUAAGCCGGAGGAAGGUGGGGAUGACGUCAAGUCCUCAUGGCCCUUACAGGGUGGGCUACACACGUGCUACAAUGGCGACUACAGAGGGUUAAUCCUUAAAAGUCGUCUCAGUUCGGAUUGUCCUCUGCAACUCGAGGGCAUGAAGUUGGAAUCGCUAGUAAUCGCGAAUCAGCAUGCCGCGGUGAAUACGUUCCCGGGC